GUGGAGAGUGAGCAGCAGCCAGACCCCUCCACCCUCUACCUCUCCAGCUGCUCCUUGUAGGCGUCCUUGGCAGGCCUGUCUUCCUCUGACCACGUCUUCCUCUGAGAGGAGGCCUGCUCUCAGUA